rnacentral:rRNA from 1 species
AGUGAACGCUGGCGGUAGGCCUAACACAUGCAAGUCGAACGGCAGCACAGUAAGAGCUUGCUCUUACGGGUGGCGAGUGGCGGACGGGUGAGGAAUACAUCGGAAUCUACUUUUUCGUGGGGGAUAACGUAGGGAAACUUACGCUAAUACCGCAUACGACCUACGGGUGAAAGCAGGGGAUCUUCGGACCUUUCGCGAUUGAAUGAGCCGAUGUCGGAUUAGCUAGUUGGCGGGGUAAAGGCCCACCAAGGCGACGAUCCGUAGCUGGUCUGAGAGGAUGAUCAGCCACAAUGGAACUGAGACACGGUCCAGACUCCUACGGGAGGCAGCAGUGGGGAAUAUUGGACAAUGGGCGCAAGCCUGAUCCAGCCAUACCGCGUGGGUGAAGAAGGCCUUCGGGUUGUAAAGCCCUUUUGUUGGGAAAGAAAAGCAGCAGGUUAAUACCCCGCUGUUCUGACGGUACCCAAAGAAUAAGCACCGGCUAACUUCGUG